AGCGAAGGCCCACCCCCCCGACGGAAGGCGAUGGGGAGGAGUCUAGGGAGGAGUCUGGGAAGCCCCAUCUCGCGGAAGGCCGCUGGGAAAGAAGGGUUCCAAAGAAGAGAUCUCAGGAAGCUCCUCCCUCUCCCGGAGUUCCGGGAUGUCCUGCUCCGAUUGAAAAGCCCCAGUCGCCCAACACUUACGUUUAAUACUUUUCGCUCCGACAUCUUUGCCUUCUGAUCACCUCGCAAGCACCUGAGAAAUGGUUAGGCUGGGUAAUUAUCGAGCUUUUCCGACGGAAGCCUUACUUCCGCAAACGUCACUUCCUUCGGCCGCUAUUAUUGGCUGCAGCAUACACAGCAGACCUCUUUCAUUGGUUCCAAUCCCCGCCUAUCAAGCUGGAAGUCCCAGCGUCUUCCCUCCGGAGUUGCAACCUGAGUAGCGCGAAAUAAGGAUUCCGGGAGCCAUGUGGAAUUGGAGAAUUUUGUAUAGUGCGCUGCGCCCCCUAGAAGCGGGCAGCGGCUCGUUAAAAUUUUGUAACGUGACCUCUUGUUCUUCAUUCUUUUAUUCAGCAAAUAUGUAUUAUGCGCCUGCCUUGUAUUCUGGGCUCUGGGAAUCCACACAUCGUUCCUGGGCCCGCAACUCUCACAUGGGGUUGGGGCCACACAUAGGGUGACUUAAGAGGACCCUGGACGACUCUUGAGUCACAGACAUUGACUUAAAGAUCAGGCUCCAAACCAACUUCCUAAACAUACGCAGUGUCUCCCAAAUGUCCCUCCAUUGCCCACCUGUGCCUUCCCCUUAACGAGGACUUCCCAUCCCAUUCCUUCCCCAGCCUCCUUCCCCAGCCUCCUCCCCACCUUUCAUGGACGUUUCCUCUGUGUCAGAUUGUUCCAGGAAAGGGGUCCGGAUCCAGACCCCAGGAGAGGGUUCUUGGAUCUCGUGCAAGAAGGAAUUCAGGGCGAGUCCACAGUGCAAAGCAAAAACAAGUUUAUUUAGAAAGUAGAUGAAUAAAAGAAUGGCUACUUCACAGAC
rnacentral:lncRNA from 10 species